rnacentral:lncRNA from 1 species
GCUAAAUUUUUAAUAUAUUUUAUUUUAUAUAUACAUUAUGUAACACAUAGUACAAAUUUAUAUAUAAGCAGAGACUAAAAAAACAUAAUAGAGAUUUCCAAUAAAAUGACAUUACUCGACAAAACCAACCUAACUGACCGUAUGUCGGCCUAUUUCAAUUAACGAUGACGGAGGGGAGCAUAAACUGCAUCAACUCGUGGUCCGUUGAAUAUACAUACUUUGUUUGAAUUGGUGCUAUUUUAAACUUAGGGAUGAUUUCAUUGACAACAACCUUUGAAGUGGAUGAUUAAUUGAGGUACAGGUAAUCAAAUGCACCGAUCGUUACUUCGUCAUUUCACUUGACCCAUAUAUUUAUCUUUCAAACGAUGAAUCCUUUUUUAAAAAGCUACAAAAUCAAAAUUAAGCUUGAAAAAAUAAAAAUAAUGGAAUCUGAAGCGAGAUUAUAUUAUCAUUUUUGAUAUAAAAGUUAUUAUAUUAAAAAAAAAAUUUAAAACACGCUGAAAUGUAAACGGUUAACGACUGGCUUCCUUCUUUUUUUUUUUUUAGCAUACUUUUAUAAUUUAUUUCCAGACUAUUAUACGUAUAACUGUCUCUAUGGUCGCGCGCUCGACUCAAAGUUGAUCGGGGUAAAAAAAUAUAGAAACUAUUGGUCUUGUUCCGAUCGUCGGUAAAACCAUGGCCAAAGUGUGGGGAGUCCGUUUGAAGGGUCUACCGUCCCAUCCGGUCAGAGUGGAAACGUUAAAUCCGAUGCCUCUUGUAAAGAGAAUGUCACACUCUCUACACGUUUAUUAUGCAUGUAAUAUUUACCACUGGACGUUAAGCAUCCAACCAUCAAUCAAUCGACAGAAGCGUAAUUUGAAUUUUAUUGAUGGUGUGGCAAAUGAGUUGAAUCUUUGCAAUCAAAGCAUCGACUUGGUUAAAAGACGCCAAUGCCAAUAGGGAGAGGACGGUUAAUAGGUGUGGUAAUGCCAAUAGGGAGAGGACGGUUAAUAGGUGUGGUAAUGCCAAUAGGAGAGGACGGUUAAUAGGUGUGGUAAUGCCAAUAGGGAGAGGACGGUUAAUAGGUGUGGUAAUGCCAAUAGGGAGAGGACGGUUAAUAGGUGUGGUAAUGCCAAUAGGGAGAGGACGGUUAAUAGGUGUGGUAAUGCCAAUAGGGAGAGGACGGUUAAUAGGUGUGGUAAUGCAAUAGGGAGAGGACGGUUAAUAGGUGUGGUAAUGCCAAUCGGGAGAGGACGGUUAUAGGUUUGGUAAUGCCAAUAGGAAGAGGACGGUUAAUAGGUGUGUAUGCAAUAGGAGAGGACGGUUAAUAGGUGUGGUAAUGCCAAUAGGGAGAGGACGUUAAUAGGUGUGGUAAUGCCAAUAGGGAGAGGACGGUUAAUAGGUGUGGUAAUGCCAAUAGGGAGAGGACGGUAAAUAGGUGUGGUAAUGCCAAUAGGGAGAGGACGGUUAAUAGGUGUGGUAAUCAUAUUCUUGAUAUGUCAAACACUGGCAAAACGAUCCUGUCUAUGAAAAAUCAAAAUUUGUUGAAUUUUAUUAUGAAAUAAUAUUUCUAGUGCGCAUUAAAUCAAUUAAUUCCAAGGAAACUGCUGGUUAAAGGUUUAAUUCUCACUAUUCAGUUACAGACAGGUCUGGAGCAAAACAAAAAUAAUUGACAGAACUAUAUGUAUGGCCUCCUUUAAAAAGCUUUUGUACGGAUUUGGAAAUAUUUAGUUUAAGAUUCACUAUGUCUUUGAACUUUAUACGUUUGACUUUUUUCAAAUAAAAUGGAUGAUAAUAACUGUGUGAAGUAUGAAGUCUUGCUUAUAUCAACCAAGGUAGAAGAGUACUACAUAAAAUGUAAGAAUGCCAAGUGUCUGUUGAAAAUUUUGUCCACCAAAAGUAACAAGUUCGUUUAAAAAAAAAUCAAGCAUCAUAUCAGUUUCACAGUUAUGAACUCUUGUUUGAAUAGUUUUUUUUU